GUCCUACGGGUGGCUGCAGUUUCGAAUCAUUCACAAUGGGCGCAAGCCUGAUGGUGCGACGCCGCGUGGGGGAUGAAGGUCUUCGGAUUGUAAACCCCUGUCACCGGGGAAGAAACGCUUUGAGUUAAUAGUUCAAAGCCUGACUUAACCCGGAGAGGAAGCAGUGGCUAACUCUGUGCCAGCAGCCGCGGUAAUACAGAGACUGCAAGCGUUAUUCGGAUUCACUGGGCGUAAAGGGUGCGCAGGCGGCCGGGUGUGUUAGAUGUGAAAUCCCGAGGCUCAACCUCGGAACUGCGUCUAAAACUACUCGGCUAGAGUACUGGAGAGGGUAACGGAAUUCACGGUGUAGCAGUGAAAUGCGUAGAUAUCGUGAGGAACACCAGAGGCGAAGGCGGUUACCUGGACAGUUACUGACGCUCAGGCACGAAAGCGUGGGGAGCAAAAGGGAUUAGAUACCCGUGUAGUCCA
rnacentral:rRNA from 1 species